ensembl:lncRNA
GUAAAUGCAGAAUUCACCCUCAUCACCACAGUCCCCCGUUCUCAACCUUUAUGUCCCGACUGGAUCAUUACUAUAGCCAGCUAUUGAGGGUAUUCAAAAAGAAGGGGGGAACAGCAAGACGUGAUAUCGACAUAAUCAUUGCAGAAAUGGACAUGGCUACUGAGGAUAUUGGUAUUGAUGCAAUGACAGAAAUGGAGAGACUGGCUUUGGGUGUCUACAUUGUUCGAUAUGAUGGAGCAGAUGCUUCAGAUCCACCUGAGGAUGUUGGCGUCGUCAUUGAAGGCUGCACAGUGCUGCGAGAUCUGAGAGAGGUUGCAAAUGGAUGUGCAGUCCUGUUUGGCUUGAUCUAGUGUUUAAACUUGAGCUAUCCCAAGGAGCUGCGAUACACUUUCGAAUUUCUUCAGAAAGUGUCUAUGGAAUUGGAUGGGAACAAGCUCUCCACUAAAGUG